AGAGCGAACGCUGGCGGCAGGCCUAAUACAUGCAAGUCGAACGGAUCCUUCGGGAUUAGUGGCGGACGGGUGAGUAACACGUGGGAACGUGCCCUUUGGUUCGGAACAACUCAGGGAAACUUGAGCUAAUACCGAAUGUGCCCUUCGGGGGAAAGAUUUAUCGCCAUUGGAGCGGCCCGCGUCUGAUUAGCUAGUUGGUGAGGUAAAGGCUCACCAAGGCGACGAUCAGUAGCUGGUCUGAGAGGAUGAUCAGCCACACUGGGACUGAGACACGGCCCAGACUCCUACGGGAGGCAGCAGUAGGGAAUCUUGCGCAAUGGGCGAAAGCCUGACGCAGCCAUGCCGCGUGAAUGAUGAAGGUCUUAGGAUUGUAAAAUUCUUUCAGCGGGGACGAUAAUGACGGUACCCGCAGAAGAAGCCCGGCUAACUCGCGCCAGCAGCCGC
rnacentral:rRNA from 1 species